CCUACGGGGGGCUGCAGUAGGGAAUAUUGGUAAUGGGCGAAAGCCUGAACCAGCAACGCCGCGUGUGCGAUGAAGGCCUUCGGGUCGUAAAGCACUUUUUGGAGGGAUGAGGAAGGACAGUACCUCCAGAAUAAGCCUCGGCUAACUACGUGCCAGCAGCCGCGGUAACACGUAGGAGGCAAGCGUUAUUCGGAUUUACUGGGCGUAAAGCGCGUGCAGGCGGUUCGGAAAGUUGGAUGUGAAAGCUCCUGGCUUAACUGGGAGAGGUCGUUCAAUACUUCCGGACUUGAGAGUGGGAGAGGGAGGUGGAAUUCCGGGUGUAGUGGUGAAAUGCGUAGAUAUCCGGAGGAACACCAGUGGCGAAAGCGGCCUCCUGGCCCAUUUCUGACGCUCAGACGCGAAAGCUAGGGUAGCAAACGGGCUUAGAUACCCGUGUAGUC
rnacentral:rRNA from 1 species